GGUGGUUUCUCUGUGUUUUCUGGCGUGGCAGAACGGACCCGUGAAGGCAAUGACUUGUACAGAGAAAUGAUUGAGAGCAGUGUCAUCAAGCUAGGCGAGAAACAGGUUUUCAAUUGUGCAAGUGAUGUAAAGACUGACCUAAUGUAAAGAUAAAGAAAGCACUUUGUCCUCCAAAAUUGUGCAAGACGUGGAAAAACAAGCUCAUAACUAUUUUAAGAUUAAUGAAUGAAGUUUGUGGUUAUGUUUUAAGUGUGAGCCGACAUCACUUGUGUAAGAGACACAUGUGACACCAAUGCUUUUGUGCUUUAGUGCCGACUUCACUUGUGUAAUAGACAACAGUGAGACAGAGUUGUCUUAAUGUUUAUGCAAGUAAGUUUAAGUAUGUAUUUCAGGUUCUGUUUUAGUUUAUG